UGGGUACUGAAGUAACGCUUUCCUCAUAUUUAUUGUGGCCACAUAAACUAUAGAUUGUCUCUCCAAAAUAUGUUUCCUGACUUUGAGACUCUAUUUAACUUUUUCCCAGUUUAAUUUUGGUACUAUGUAUAAAUAAGCUGCUUUCGAUGUAAUAGUCUAAAAUACAGCCCUUAUUUAUGACACAUUCACACUUCCAGCUUUUGCAUUAUUUUUUGUUAUAGUAUGUGAUUCAGGAAGGUUAGUUAUGGCUAAAGCAGUACCAAUACAUCCGCUAAAACUAAC